rnacentral:rRNA from 1 species
GACGAACGCUGGCGGCGUGCUUGACACAUGCAAGUCGAACGGAAAGGCCUGCUUUCCCUUGUGGAUUGCGGGUACUCGAGUGGCGAACGGGUGAGUAACGCGUGAGUGAUCUGCCCCCAACUUGGGUAUAAGCCUGGGAAACUGGGUCUAAUUCCCGAUAGGACUGCAGGGUGGUGCCUGUGGUGGAAAACGAUUUUCUAGUGGUUGGGGAUGAGCUCGCGGCCUAUCAGCUUGUUGGUGGGGUAAUGGCCUACCAAGGCGGCGACGGGUAGCCGGCCUGAGAGGGUGGACGGCCACAUUGGGACUGAGAUACGGCCCAGACUCCUACGGGAGGCAGCAGUGGGGAAUAUUGCACAAUGGGCGGAAGCCUGAGGCAGCGACGCCGCGUGGGGGAUGACGGCCUUCGGGUUGUAAACUCCUUUCGACCGCGAGGAAGCCACCUGGUUGGAAGGGUGGUGACGGUAGUGGUAGAAGAAGCACCGGCUAACUACGUG